GUGUGGCAGGUUUGGUAGCCUUCAACUAACACUAUCUCCUCCCAAACCUUGCGAUGCAAGUUGACCAAAAUUGAGAGUAUGAUAGAAGAAGGCUUGCUCUUCCUUCCGUAGAAGAAAAAAUUCGAAACGGACCAUGAUACAUCAAAAAUUAUUUACAUAAAAAAGGUGCUUUUUUUCUAUGAAAAUCCCUUUUUCUUUCGAUUUGUUGACUGCUGAGUCGCCAUUUUUCGGUGUAUUUCAACCAGAAAAAUAUUCACUUAAAGAGAAUAACAAGCUACACAAUGCAAAUUUUUUACUUUUCAAAAAUUCCAAUUCUAAAGGGUCGAAAAGAAAAAAAGCCCGAGCGACGCUGGGCGAUAUUGCUAGUAGUAAUUAAAAGCGUUCGCAGGUAAAAUAUAAAAAAUUUGAGAACCACUGAUCGAGAUAAGGUACAGCUUUCAGAACAGUUGUCAUAUAUAUUCUCUCUUUCGCUGAUUUUCAAAUGAACGUUGACAUCUCCAAGGUAGCUGACUUCGAUAACAGUACACGAUUGUUCUCACCUUCUUCUCUGCCCUAAAUAACUACGCUAGAUUCAUUUUGCUUACAUUUUAGUGAAAGUGUUGAUAAGAACAUUGCUGCAAUAGCCCUCGCGUUGAAACAUAUGUACUGGGCAACAAUAAUAUUUUCUCUAUUUGUCACGCAGGCAGCCAGUCCUAACGAUGUUAUUUUAUCUGUUAUUUUAGCAACAACACGAUUCCACAUUGGAAUGCAGGUUCGGAAUGUAAUGCCCUAAUGCCGCGUUUGAAAGUAGUUCCCGAAUGCGCAUUGGGAUAAAAUACCUCGGAUCUUUUCGGUUUGAACGGCAGUUUUUUCUAGCGGUGUCAUAUGAAAUUGUCUCCCAUAAUUAUGACCCAAGUAUCGAUCUAUUGCAUUUCAGUCUGUUUUAGGGUUAGGGUUAGUUAGGGUUAGUUAAGGUUAGGUUUAGGGUUAUGGUUAGGGGUGGGGGGAAGGUAUCUUUUUUUCUUCAGAAAUGUAAAUAAACCCAAUCUGUUUCUUAAACGAGGGACAUAUUCAUACGGCACAGAAUGUUUUUUACCUCAAUAGACGUCAGUGAUUGGUUGAAAUUGCAGAAAUUGAAGGAAAAAAACAACAAAUAUCUUACAAACUAUAGAAUUUUCUCUAUAAAGCCAAGAGAAAAAGAUGUUUUAUAAACACAUUCUACCAGUAUACGAAGUUUAAAAGUGUGUAGUUACGUCGAAAUUAUUUUUAAAAACUGCCGUUCAAACCGAUAAGAUCCAAUACCUCAAUGCUGCGUUUGAAAGUUGUGCCUUAAUGCCACAUUUAAAAGUAAUUACUUUAUGCCGCGUUUGAAAGUAGUUCCCGAAUGUGCGUUGGGAUUAAAUACCUUAAUGCUGCGUUUGAAAGUAGUUUCUUUAAUGCCGCGUUUGAAAGUAGUUCCCGAAUGCGCGUUGGGAUAAAAUACCUCAAUGCUGCGUUUGAAAGUAGUUUCUUUAAUGCCGCGUUUGAAAGUAGUUCCCGAAUGCGCGUUGGGAUAAAAUACCUCAAUGCUGCGUUUGAAAGUAGUUUCUUUAAUGCCGCGUUUGAAAGUAGUUCCCGAAUGCGCGUUGGGAUAAAAUACCUCAAUGCUGCGUUUGAAAGUAGUUUCUUUAAUGCCGCGUUUGAAAGUAGUUCCCGAAUGCGCGUUGGGAUAAAAUACCUCAAUGCUGCAUUUGAGAGUGGCGCCUUAAUGCCGCGUUUGAAAGUAGUACCUCAAUGAGGCGUUUGGAAGUAGUAGAUUAAUGAGGCGUUUGAAAUUAUUAAUGAUGCGUUUGAAAAUACUAAUGACGCGUUUAUUAAUAUUGCAUUUGGAAGUAGUACCUGUUAUUGCAAGAAAGAGUAGACUUCGUAGACAUCUAAACAUCAUCUUCGAGUUUACGAGACAAAGACCAUACCCGAGCCUAAACUUUUGUUGUACACAAUAUUUAUCCCGCUGCGAUUUGUUGACGUAUGCUCAUCUAACAGUUUUUCUGGAGCAUGGGAGGUUGUCAAGUAUCGAGUGCUUUUUAAGGAAUUCACACCUGACUCAUGGUGAAUAUAUUUUUGCCACAGAACCUCCCAACUCUAGACACUAACAUCAAAACAUUGUCCACGCCUGAUUAGAUUUACCUGUGAAGAAAACCAAACAAUAUCAAGGUAAGCGAUACCCACAAACUAUGAAUCCAUACUUUUCACUUUACUAGAAUGAAGAACAACCCAGAAUAACGAGAUUAGAGCAUAAGAAAUUCACAAUCGAGCGUAACAUAUGUACAUUCCCAUCGUCAGCUACCCAAACGGAUAUCACUGUGGUUUCGACACUUGAGUACGCGAUGUAUUUUUUCUCUUCGGAAACUAUCACUAUUUUUUUUUAUGCUUAAAGAAGGGGAAAACCUACACCACCGGACUGAAUGGUACUGUCGCUAUUUUUGGUGGAAGUUAUUGGCUGAUCUCAGGAUCUUUCACGUUUUAACACCUUUAGAGUGAUGUCAGGUGUGAGACGUUUUGUCACAGCCAUUUUAGCGACGCCGAUUCAGCAUUAUUGUAUUUUGAUAUCACACGUUUUAAUAUUUCUCCCCCAUAUCUCUCUCUCUCUCUCUCUCUCUCUCUCUCUCUCUCUCUCUCUCUCUCUCUCUCUCUCUCUCUGUUUAUGUGUGUAAGCAUAUGCCUUUCAGUGAAGAGAGAGGAAGGGUUUUAUAUCAAUCAUGUUCAAUUAAUAAGUUGUAAUGUCUCUCUCAUACACACACUCUCUCGCUCAGACACGCACUCUCUUUCUCUCUCACACACACACUCUCUCUCACACACUCUUUCUCUCACAUGCACACGUACACGUACACUCUCUCUCACUCAUACGCAGGUGCACACACACACACACACACACACACACACACAUAUGCUUACAUUCUCUCUCACACAUACCCUUUCACACGCACAUACACACAUUCACUCACUCACUCUCUUUCUCACACACACACACACAUACACUCUCUCAUACACACCCUCUUUCUCUCACACGCACUCGUACACACACACACACACUCUCUCUCUCUCACUCAUACGUACGCGCACGCACACACACAUUCACUCACUCUCUCUCUCUCUCUCUCUCAUACACAUACACAUACACACAAACAUAAACUCUCUCUCUCUCUCUCUCUCUCUCUCUAUCUAUCUAUCUAUCUAUCUAUCUAAUCCAUCUGUAUGUGUAUAUUUCCGCGCACCCACGCGUACCUGUAUUUGCCUCCUGUGCCAAAAAGAACUGUCACCAAGACAGACUGAGUGCCCCAGUCAGCCGAACCAAACUGUCAGCGACAAAACAGCCGCGCCCGACUGUCUCAUUCCCAGACUAAUCAAAUAACCCUCCUUCAACUCUUGAUAUUGGCACCGGUACUUUCUUUAUCGAUCUCAAAAUCGAUAAAAGUCAAAGUUUCCCCCACCCAAUCCCAGCAAGAUUUGAACUCAGGACGUAAAGAGAUGCAACAAACAUCGUGACUGGAUUUUUAUCCAGUGCUCUACCGACUCGGCCAGUGGACCCAACAAACACUUUAGAGCGCAGACUUUAUAAAACAGAAUGCCAUGUAUGAAGUGGAUGCGAUGUGUCGCCCCUUGGUCGGUCGGGGUUAAUAAGCAGCUGUCUCGGAUGUGUGGGCGACAAUGCGUCAGCGACGCUCUGUCAGCACGGCUCGCAACUACUACUACUACUGAUGCUGCUACUACUACUACUACUACUGCUACUACGACUACUGCUUCUGCUGCUGCUGCUGCUGCUGCCGCUUCUGCUACUACUACUACUACUACUACUACUACUACUACUACUACCACCACUACUAUUACUGCUGCUACAACAACUACUACUACUGCUGCUGCUGCCGCACCUUUUCUACUACUACUACUACUACUACUACUACUACUACUACUAACACUACUACUACUACUACUACUACUACUACUACUACUACUACUACUACUACCUUUGCUAAUACAACAACUACUAUUACUACUGCUUCUGCUGCUGUUGCUACAACAGCUACUACUACUAUCAUUACUGCUGCUGCUACCACUACUGCUACUACUGCUGCUAGUACUGCUUUUGCAACAACUACUACUACCUCUACCACUACCACUACUACUACUACUUACUAAUAUUACUGCCGCUACUACUACUACUAUUUCUACUACUACUACUACUACUACUACUACUAACACUACUACUACUACCGUAGAGUGGAAUGCAUAGGAGAUGUGGAGCCAGAAGGCGACAGGCACCGACCUUUCAAUAAUGUAAACGCUUUGGGUUGCGUCAUACCGAGUGCGUUUAAUAAUUAAAAAAACAGUGAGUAAUUAAGGCUAAAUUAAUCAUUAAGUGAUAUGUCAGUCAAGAGGAGGUGAAACGUGAGAAAUAUAUGUGUUUAAUUAAUGGUCGAGUUUUUUGGUUAUGUCAUAAUGCCGUUCUGAGUUCAAAUCCCGAUUAGGCCAACUUCAGCUUUCAUAGUUCCGGGUAGAUGACGGGUAGAUGCAACAGAUAAACUCACCCAGUGUUUGACCUGGGUAGAAAUUGUAGUGAAACAGUAAUCUUUCACCAUAUCGCGGUUCACUUAUCACGGUUUAUUAUUUAAGCUGACGUCGAUUCCUCCGUGGUGGUGUUUUGCAUUUAUAAGAAAAUAAAUAUAUAUAAAUUAUAUAAAUAAUGAUAAUAAAAAUAUACUGUUUCAACUUCGAGGAUUUUCACCUAUCACGCGGGGUUUUGGAACGUAACCCCGUAAUAGUCGAGAGAUUAGCGUAAUAAUAAUGAUGAUAAUAAUAAUAAUUUCAAAUUUUGUCACAAAGGCAGCAAUUUUUGUAGGGUGGAGGUUAGAUGAAUCGAUUACAUCAACCCUAGUGUUCAACUGAUACUUAUUUUAUCGACCCUGAAAGGAUGAAAGUUGAUCUCGGCGGAAUUUGAACUCAGAACGUAAGGACGGACGAAAUGUCGAGGUCGACUUUGCAUU
rnacentral:lncRNA from 1 species